rnacentral:rRNA from 1 species
GAUCCUGGCUCAGGAUGAACGCUAGCGGCAGGCCUAACACAUGCAAGUCGAGGGGUAGAGUUCUUCGGAACUUGAGACCGGCGCACGGGUGCGUAACGCGUAUGCAAUCUACCUUAUACAGGGGAAUAGCCCAGAGAAAUUUGGAUUAAUGCCCCAUAGUGUUAUCGAAUCGCAUGGUUUGAUAACUAAAGUUCCAACGGUAUAAGAUGAGCGUGCGUCCCAUUAGUUAGUUGGUAAGGUAACGGCUUACCAAGACAAUGAUGGGUAGGGGUCCUGAGAGGGAGAUCCCCCACACUGGUACUGAGACACGGACCAGACUCCUACGGGAGGCAGCAGUGAGGAAUAUUGGUCAAUGGGCGCAAGCCUGAACCAGCCAUGCCGCGUGCAGGAAGACGGUCCUAUGGAUUGUAAACUGCUUUUAUACAGGAAGAAACCCUCCCACGUGUGGGAGCUUGACGGUACUGUAGGAAUAAGGAUCGGCUAACUCCGUG